GAGAGGCUUAAAGCAGUAAGGACUGCUAAUCCCUACCCCCACGGUUAG
rnacentral:tRNA from 1 species